rnacentral:rRNA from 1 species
GAUGAACGCUGGCGGCGUGCCUAAUACAUGCAAGUCGAGCGGACGGACGCGGCGCUUGCUUCUCUGACGUUAGCGGCGGGCGGGAGAGUAACACGUGGAUCACCUCCCUGUCAUACUGGGAUAACUUCGGGACACCGGCGCUAAUCCCGGAUAAUAUCUUGAACCGCAUUGGUCAAAAGUGAAAUACGGUGUUGCUGUCACUUAUAGCUGGAUCCGCGCUGCAUUAGCUGGUUGGGAAGGUAACGGCUUACCAAGGCAACGAUGCAUAGCCGAGCUGAGAGGGUGAUCGGCCACACUGGAACUGAGACACGGUCCAGACUCCUACGGGAGGCAGCAGUAGGGAAUCUUCCGCAAUGGGCGAAAGCCUGACGGAGCAACGCCGCGUGAGUGAUGAAGGUCCUCGGAUCGUAAAACUCUGUUAUUAGGGAAGAACAUAUGUGUAAGUAACUGUGCACAUCUUGACGGUACCUAAUCAGAAAGCCACGGCUAACUACGUG